CUUGUACCUAGAUAUUGACCGGUGUCGUGACUGUGAUUAUAUUUAAAAAAAAACAACGUUAUCGUAAAGCACUACUCCGACGUGACUUCACAUUUGAUAUAUUGCAAUUAAGUAAUUUCGGUUGGGACGCAUCGAUUGCAUAUUUCGGAUGUCGGUGCAACUGAUGUAUUCGGCUGGUUGAAUGAUGCACUGCCAGUGUCACAUGUUCGUCUGGACUCGGUAUACCGCAUAAGUGUACACAAAGUGGCCCCGACAAAUUUAUUGGGGCCAGUUGGUGGAAUUGUCGGGCUGAUGUGAUCCAUUUGAUGUUACAAAUUCUUCGAAACUUUUACUUGACCAAUCAGAAGAAAGAAUUUUAUCUGACAAUCAAAAAAUGCUUCGAAGCAUCAAGUGGGCUAUAGCCGGGCAUAGCCUUCGUCUGAAAAUUGAUAUAUCCAACUUGUAGCAUUAAUUUACGAUUUCCGAUUACCGACUUAUGUAGAAUCAGCUUUACAGUGAGUUUUUAGGUUAGGAACAGAAAUCUCUAAUAUCGAAUGAGUAUUAAAUGUUAAACUAUACGUAUUAAUUUAAUAUUUACGUUUUUUAUUACGUAAA